AGAAAAUAUUAAUGAACUGACUGCAAAAUGGAAAGAGUUGCAUCAUAAAUAUAUUCUUGUAGAUAAAUAUUACAAACAUAUAGAUAAUAAAAUUAGAAGUUACCAAAAAUUAGAUGAUGAACUUUGCAAAAAGAUUUCAAGUUUGAGAAAUAAAGCAAGAAGUAAUUACUCAGCUAUUGAAUCUGAAAAACAAGAAUUUAGUGAAAAAGAAGAUAAUGUGACUGUGAAGUCUACAGUUGAUUUUAUUGAAAAUUAUCUAAUAAAUUCUAUUAGAACAGAAUCAGAUAAUGAAUCUACAAAACAGGUGAAAGAUUAAUCCAUAUAAAGAAAUAUUUAGAAUCUGAGAAAUUGAAUAUAGAUUGCUUGAAGUUUGAAGAACAGUUUUCUGCUUUAGAAGCUGUAAUGGAAUCUGAACUGAGGAAGCAUAAUUUAGAAAGACCAAUAGAUAUUGAAUUAAUAAAAGAAGUCUUAAAGCAAGAAGCAGAACUGGUUGGUUGUACAAAAUCAUUAGAAGUACUUAAAAAUUCUGUUAGUGAAUUAGAAAAAGAUAGUCAAUAUUUGGAAAAAAAGAAAGAAAAUUUAAUAACCAAAUAUGAAAAAAUUCAGAAUUUCCAUAAAAUUGUGG